ensembl:miRNA
GUGGGUAGGGGCUGGGGGAGAGCGUGGGCUGGGGUUCAGGGACACCCUCUCAGCACUGCCCUCCCCCAG